GACGUAGGGCGCGAGCGUUGUCCGGAUUUAUUGGGCGUAAAGAGCUCGUAGGCGGCUUGUCGCGUCGAAUGUGAAAUCUCAGGGCUCAACUCUGACAUUGCAUUCGAUACGGGCAGGCUAGAGUUCGGUAGGGGAGACUGGAAUUCCUGGUGUAGCGGUGAAAUGCGCAGAUAUCAGGAGGAACACCGAUGGCGAAGGCGGGUCUCGUGGGCAGUGAA
rnacentral:rRNA from 1 species